AGGAGGCUAAGCCCAUUUCAGCUGGCGUUUUAGCCCCAUUCACGCAUCGCCGCAGCAAUGUUGGGGGCUAAUUCGCUUCAGCUCCUCUCUUGGGUCCCAUCAGCACUGUGCCCUAAUAGCAGUAUGGCGUCGCUUUAAAUAAUCACGGCUCCCCCCCCCCCAAGAAUCCUGGGAAGUGUAGUUUGUUAAGGGUGCUGAAAGUUGCUAGGAGACCUUUGUUCCCCUUGCAUAGCUAGAAUUCCCAGAGAGGUUUAACAGUCAAUCCCUCUCCCUGGGGAACUCUGAGAAAUGUAGCUCUGUGAGGGGAAUAGGAGCCUCCUAACCACUCUCAACAACUGUCUGCUCCAUCUUCCGGGUGACAACCCUUCAGCAGAGCAGCUUGUAAAAUUCUGAAGGCUGGAGGGGAGCAGAAGCCAAGGACCACGUGAAUCAAUUACAUAAUGAGCUGCAAAUUGAACUGGAAACAGAGUUAGUUCUCUUCUGGAGGGGGUGAAUGUGAACUGCAACUAAUUCCUUUCUAAAAUGAACUUUCCAAGCUCUGACUCCAGGAUGUUCUGAAUCAAUUUCUCUGUCCAUCUCUACAGACUUUAAUUUACACAUGAGGAGCACUUGGUAAACCUUUGUGACCCGCUUGCGAAUCACUUUGCAGAUAAUCUCGCUCAUAUCUCAGCUUUAA